rnacentral:lncRNA from 1 species
GUUUUCGAGCAGCAGCGAGAAGCGACUCAUUAUCUUUCAUAGAGUCACAGCUUCGGCGAAGAUCAGCAAUUUCAGAUCGGUGCGCAGCGCACUCUUUGUUCUUCGCCGCUAUCGCUUUCUCGUGCUCAGCAGCUUGUUCCUCCAACUUCUUAUUCCAUUGGAGGGUCUUCCUCAACGACCACACCUCUUUGCAAACAGCUUGAUACUUGUCAUCAAGCUUGUUGUACUCCUAUUGGGAACGGAGGGUGUCGUUGGCAGAUUGCAUCCCAAUGGUUGCAUUUGAUAGAUACGCGACCUACAAAACAAAACAAUCGAUUAGUAAAGUAAAAUAAAACACAUAUAUGUAAAAGCGAUCGCGAAUCACUUACAGCAGAUAUAGCUUUUCCAAGCUCUUCGCGUAUCCAAUCCCCAGGCUUAGUCAGAAGCAGCUGGGCAACCUUCGUCCGUACCCCUUCAUCGGCAAACAAGCCAGGAUAAUCAAAUGUGGUGCGGAAGGGGGCGAAUUCAGGCACAGACCUCGAGCUCGACCCAGUCUCGAAGGUUCUGCGGGGGCCAGUCUCUUGGGCCUUCCUUUCUCGUAUCAGCUUAGCGCCGCGAAGUCUCACGGCCAAGUGUGGAAGGACCGCCUCACGGUAUAGAUGCGCACCCUUCUUCUUCUUAAUCGGAUUUCCAGAAGGGUCCUCUGACCGCAGGUAGUGUGCCACGUCAGAAAAAGUGAAAUCUUCUCGCUGGCGCAAAGCGAAAGGAACUCCUUGCCCGCAUUCGAAAAAAGCAAGAGCAGAAGAAAUCUUCUUCACCCGCUUCAGCUCAGCCUUGCUUAGGGCACAAGGAACAUCUAGGUGUACGCGGCGAGCAUUGGCCCACCUCUCGCGGCUCCCGUGUACAAAUGUAGAAUCGAUAAAAAAGAACUCACUCUUCCACUGUGGCCCAUAGUUAGUGGGGAGUUCU